rnacentral:rRNA from 1 species
AGUUUGAUCCUGGCUCAGGAUGAACGCUAGCUACAGGCUUAACACAUGCAAGUCGAGGGGCAGCAUUGGAGUAGCAAUACUUCAGAUGGCGACCGGCGCACGGGUGAGUAACACGUAUCCAACCUGCCGCUUACUCGGGGAUAGCCUUUCGAAAGAAAGAUUAAUACCCGAUGGUAUAAAGAGUUCGCAUGUUCUCUUUAUUAAAGAAUUUCGGUAAGCGAUGGGGAUGCGUUCCAUUAGAUUGUUGGCGGGGUAACGGCCCACCAAGUCUACGAUGGAUAGGGGUUCUGAGAGGAAGGUCCCCCACAUUGGAACUGAGACACGGUCCAAACUCCUACGGGAGGCAGCAGUGAGGAAUAUUGGUCAAUGGACGCGAGUCUGAACCAGCCAAGUAGCGUGAAGGAUGACUGCCCUAUGGGUUGUAAACUUCUUUUAUAAGGGAAUAAAGUGAGGGACGUGUCCCUUUUUGUAUGUACCUUAUGAAUAAGGAUCGGCUAACUCCGUGCCAGCAGCCGCGGUAAUACGGAGGAUCCAAGCGUUAUCCGGAUUUAUUGGGUUUAAAGGGAGCGUAGGUUGACAUAUAAGUCAGCUGUGAAAGUUUACGGCUCAACCGUGAAAUUGCAGUUGAUACUGUAUGUCUUGAGUGUACAAGAGGUGGGCGGAAUUCGUGGUGUAGCGGUGAAAUGCUUAGAUAUCACGAAGAACUCCAAUUGCGAAGGCAGCUCACUGGGGUACAACUGACACUGAGGCUCGAAAGUGUGGGUAUCAAACAGGAUUAGAUACCCUGGUAGUCCACACAGUAAACGAUGAAUACUCGCUGUUUGCGAUAUACAGUAAGCGGCCAAGCGAAAGCAUUAAGUAUUCCACCUGGGGAGUACGCCGGCAACGGUGAAACUCAAAGGAAUUGACGGGGGCCCGCACAAGCGGAGGAACAUGUGGUUUAAUUCGAUGAUACGCGAGGAACCUUACCUGGGCUUGAAUUGCAGAGGAACAUAGUUGAAAGAUUAUGGCCGCAAGGUCUCUGUGAAGGUGCUGCAUGGUUGUCGUCAGCUCGUGCCGUGAGGUGUCGGCUUAAGUGCCAUAACGAGCGCAACCCUUAUCAUUAGUUACUAACAGGUGAUGCUAAGGACUCUAGUGAGACUGCCGUCGUAAGAUGUGAGGAAGGUGG